UAAGAGAAUGGAGAGACUGUUCAAAGUGUCUCUGCCAUCGUGUGAACAAUGAGGCAAAACAAAACCAAAUGGGCGAGUCAUCGUUUCGGUCGUCCUUUUGUUUGAUUGGCGAAUCGAUUGUUCCUCGUCUACAU